GCACCGCACAGCCGCUCAAAAACCCUAGUUCUCGCCGCCACCUCCGCCGCUCGGCGCCCGCCGCCAGUCCACCACUUGCCCACCUCGUCGCGACGUCGCGCAGAUAUCUUCACCGCCCGUCGCAGCAGGUUCAGCUGCUGGCACGGGACAUUUGAACCGGCACUACAAAGCUUGUUUAGCAAAGCUAGGAAAGACUCAAGGAGGAGGUACGCAAACCCAUCUUAACUUUGCUGCUGAUGGUACAAUAAGUACAUGGGUUUACAACCCACAGGUAGCACGUGAUGAAAUAGCCAAAUUUAUUGUUUGUGAAGAUUUACCGAUUAUGUUGGGCGAGAGCCAAAAUUUUAAAAACUUGAUUCAACGUGCUUUUUGCCCACAAUAUCAGCCUGUCACUAGAAAAACUACAAAAUCUGAUUUGAUUGCAAUAUACAAAAAUAAACUUGCUGCUCUUAAAGAGUCUUUUAAAAAGGUUCAGUUCUCAUUUGCUUUAACAUCAGACAUUUGGACAUCAUCACACCAAAAAACAUGUUAUGUUUCUGUUGUUGCCCACUACUUGGACGAUUCUUAUGCUUUAAACAAGCGAGUCAUCGGUUUUAGAAUGAUGGAUGAGUCACACACUGGAGAUGCAAUUGCCAACCAUAUACUUGAGGUAGUUCGUGAUUUUGAGAUAGAUGGUAAGAUUCUCUCUAUAACCCUUGACAAUGCUUCCGCAAACACAACUGCUAUUGAUAUUCUCACCCCUCGGUUGCAGUCAUAUAUACAAGGUUAUAUUAUCCACCAUAGGUGUGUGUGCCACAUUAUAAAUUUGGUUGUUCAAGCUGGUAUAACAGUUGCAAAUAAGUACUUGAAUAAUAUCCGUGCUGCUAUUCGUUUCAUAACAAGCACACCUCAAAUGAUUUCUAGAUUUGCUGAGUAUUGUAAAGCUCAGGAUAUGAGACCAAGAAAAUUUGGUCUUGAUAUGAAGAUCAGAUGGAAUUCAACCUACCAUAUGCUUAAGAGUUUAGAAGGUUAUGAACAAUUAAUUACUGUCUUUGUGAAUGCCAAUGGAGGUAAAGUUUCUAAAAUACUUUGAACAAAUAUCACAUGUAUACUGUUUUGCAACUAUUUUUGAUCCACGCAAGAAACUGGAUGGUUUGCAAAUUGCAUUGGAGGGAAUAGGUGAUGCAUUGGACAUGGAUUUUUCAGAUGCUUUUAAUCAUGCAAAAGAUGACUUGUUUCGUGUCUUUGGUUACUAUUACAAAAAAUAUGGUGAAAGUGAGAUAGACUCACCUGCUGUUGAGUUUGGUGCAGAAAUUUCAGAUACCUCUCUUACAGCUCACUUAUGGAAGAGAGCGAAGGGGAAAGAAAAUGUCGCCUCAUCUCAAAGGUGGAAUCCUAAUGCUGAAUUAAAUCACUAUCUGUCCACUAACUUUGUAGGUACUGAUCGCGCACUAAGGGGUGAGAAGGUAAAGUUACUUGAGUGGUGGAGGGACCACAAGUAUAGUUUUCCUGUCUUGUCUCAGUUUGCUAGAGAUAUACUUGUUAUUCCUGUCUCAACUGUUUCCUCUGAAGCUACCUUUAGCACUGUUGGGAGAAUAAUUGAGGAACGAAGGUCUUCUCUAGCACCUAAGACGGUGGAGGCAAUCACUUGCCUUAAAGAUUGGAACAGAGCCGAAGAGCGGAAGCAACAUCAACUUGAGGAUCCUGAGAUUGAAUUUGCCGCUGCAGAUUUGGACAUUGAUUAGACAAUAAUGUUUAGUUGCUGCUACAGAUUGAAUUUGCUACUAUGAACUUUAUGUGGUUGUAAUAUUUAGACUUUAUUUGGACAUUGCCGGUCUGUACUCUUUUCCUUAUAGAGGGGCCCUGUAAUGGGGUAUAAGGUUUUUAAUGAGACAGGCCGAGGAAUAUAUUUUUGUUUC